AUGGUUUGCAAUUUACCUGACCCAGAAAACUGCACAAAACCAUACAAAUCAAGGGGUUCAAAUCUUCAUGUUCACUUUAAGAACAGCGUGGAACUGCCUGGGCCAUCAUGGUGUUCAAAUACAAAAAGUCACCAAGUAUCUGAAAGAUGUCACUGUACAGAAACAAUGUGUACCAUUGCAAUGUUACAAGGGCAGCGUUGUGGGUAUGCCCAGGCCAAACAGUGAGGUUGGACACAGGGACAGUAGCCCAAAAAGAGUGCUGAAUUUUUCUUGCAUGUGCAUAAAAAUGCAGAGUCAUGUUGAACUGAGGGAUUUAGAUGUAGACUCUCUGGUCAUUGAGCUUAUGCAGGUAAACAAAGCACCUAAAAAUGCACGGCCAGAUUUAAAGAGCUCAUGGUUGGAUUAACCCAUACAUGAGCUCUCCCUGCCACACUGAGCUGAUCAUUAUGGAAUAGGAACAGAUUGUUACUAAACCAGAAGAGGAGAUUGCACAGAAGAAAAAGAUAUCCCAGAAGAAACUGAAGAAACCAAAACUGAUGGCAUGGGAA
rnacentral:lncRNA from 1 species